rnacentral:rRNA from 1 species
GGACGAACGCUGGCGGCGUGCUUAACACAUGCAAGUCGAACGAUGAAGAAGAGAAACGCGAACUUCGGUUCAAAUUUCACUUCGGAUUAGUGGCAGACGGGUGAGUAACGCGUGAGCAACCUACCUCUUACAAAGGGAUAGCCUCGGGAAACCGUGAUUAAUACCAUAUGACACAUUCAUAAGGCAUCUUAAGAAUGUUAAAGCUACGGCGGUAAGAGAUGGGCUCGCGUCCCAUUAGCUAGUUGGUGAGGUAACGGCCCACCAAGGCGACGAUGGGUAACCGGCCUGAGAGGGUGAACGGUCACAUUGGAACUGAGACACGGUCCAAACUCCUACGGGAGGCAGCAGUGGGGAAUAUUGCACAAUGGAGGGAACUCUGAUGCAGCGACGCCGCGUGAGCGAUGAAGGAAUUCGUUUCGUAAAGCUCUGUUCUAUGGGAAGAAAAGGACUGUACCAUAGGAGAAAGCCCCGGCUAAAUACGUG